UCAUUGUCGUCAAAAAUCAGCUGUGUUCUCUCUGUUUCUGUUUGUAGUUAGCUUCACUUUACCCUGCACUGUUCGUGUUCAGUUUCAUAAUAGUCAAUAAUGGAGUGCUAGAGCAGAAGUAGCUCAUAAAUUUUUGCUAAAAUUUAAGCAGUGUUGUAAAGGACUUUGAUGUAUUUUUCUAUUUAUACUUUGCCAAGAUAACAGGACUGAUGAACGACACGGGCAGAUCCGAUUGCGUCAAUAAUUCGUAUUUUGUAAAUUUUAAUCAGGAUAUCUCGUCAUUAGCAAUUGGCAGUAAAUCUGGAUACAGACUAUUCUCUCUCUUGUCAGUUGAUUCUUUAGUACAAAUCUAUGAAAAUGAAACGGAAGACAUCUCUAUUGUGGAAAGAUUGUUCAGUAGUAGCCUUGUCGCAGUUGUGUGUCUAUCAUCUCCACGUAAGUUGAAAGUGUGCCAUUUCAAUAAAGGGACUGAAAUAUGCAACUACUCGUAUUCCAACACUAUCCUCGCUGUCAAGCUCAACAGGGUGAGGCUGGUGGUAUGCCUGGAGGAGUCGCUGUACAUUCACAACAUAAGGGACAUGAAGGUGCUGCACACAAUACGGGACACACCCCCCAACCCCUCUGGCCUGUGCACCCUGUCCAGCAACGGUGACAACUGCUUCCUCGCCUACCCCGGCUCUAACACCAUCGGUGAAGUGCAGAUCUUCGAUGCUAACAAUCUGCAAGCGAAAACAAUGAUAGCGGCGCACGACAGCCCACUGGCCGCUCUGGCCUUCUCGCCGAACGGCUGCCGACUGGCGACCGCCUCGGAGAAGGGAACGGUGAUUAGGGUGUUCAGCGUGGCCGACGGUAGUCGCCUCUUCGAGUUCCGGCGCGGCGUCAAGCGGUGUGUCACCAUUUCGACGCUCGCCUUCUCAACCGACGCCUCCUUCCUGGUAGCCUCAUCCAACACCGAGACUGUCCACAUAUUCAAGCUUGACGAGAACCAGGAUCCCAGCUUGAAUAAGGUGCCGGCGGCGGCGCAGGUGGAUGACUCAUCGCAGUCGUGGAUGGGCUACCUGAGCAAGGCGGUGUCAGCGUCGGCCAACUACCUGCCCUCCCAGGUCACCGACGUCUUCUGCCAGGGCCGCGCCUUCGCCUCCGUCCACCUGCCUGUGUCCGGGCUCAAGACUGUCUGCGCCAUCACCACUGUACAGAAAGUGUUGAGGCUGUUGGUAGCAUCUUCAGAUGGCGUCAUGUAUGUCUAUAACUUCGAUGCAAACGAAGGUGGCUGUGUACUGGUUCAUCAACACAAACUAUACGGAAAAUCGGAAACAGACGAUAGAGUUGAUGGAUCUGAUGAUAAACAAUCCGCUGCUAAAAAGAGUACUGCCAACAACGAUACUCAAGACUUCUUAGCAAACUUCAUGUAAAAGGCUCCAUAAGUAGCUACGCUGGAAUAUUGAAGGGGAAUUGCCCAGGAACCAUGUCAGACUCAGAGAAAUUCCGAGAGAUGGUUGCCGCUACUGAAUCUCCACCCAAAGGAGGGUUCCACCUCAACGAUGAUUCAGAAUUUCCUCCUGUCACACAGAAAACUGAAUGACAUUUUGUCAUAAUUUAACAAAUUCGUUGGCUUAUUUCACAGAUACUUUUCACCAAUAAUAAAUAUUGUCCUAGUGUUAAUGCCUCUCAAAAUUGAUCACGCAGAAAAGUACAAAAUUCUAAGAUUGAACUGACUAAACAAAUUGUGACAGAGAUAAUCAUUUAUCGUUCAAAUUGAAGAGAAAAACGUUUUAUACUGUUGCAAAACAAGUUAAAUUAAAUAGUAACCAAUCACACCAAUAAAUAAUAUUUAUUUAUUUUCAUUGUAGGAUACUGAAUUGUAAUUUAUUAUUGAUACUAAGUAUAGCGGAUAUUAUUAUAAUAAUUAUCUAGUUUUAUAAGAUUCAUUUUCAGUUUUAUCGGCACCGAGGUUAUCAUUUUAUUGUAAAUAAUUAAGACGGUUCAAAAUUUUAUCAUUUGUGCCAAAAAAUUGUACAUAUUUAGGAUAUAACAAGAGUAUUAAUUUAAGUUGAAAUGUAAAAAGAAUAUUUAGCUUAUAGAUGACUGUGAGUGAUACUUGAAAUUAUUAUAAAAAUCUAUUACAAUUAUAGAAAUUUUCAAAUCAAAGGAGCUGUAGUAUGUAUGCAUAUCUUUCAUUUUUAUGAACAUCCUCAAAUUUUAUGAAGUUUGUAUUAUAUUAACUUAUAUUAUAGUACAUUACCCGUUAUAUUAUUGAAGUGUCGUAUAUUAUGUAAAUACAGAUUAAUUUUACACAGUAAGAUUGUGAACAAGCUAUAUGAAAAAAUAAAUGCACAUGUCAACCGAAAUUGCUGAUGUGUUCAAAAGUUCGAAAAAUAAAUUAUUUUAUGGCUCUAAAACAA
rnacentral:misc_RNA from 1 species